rnacentral:lncRNA from 1 species
CUUUUCUCAGAUUCAUUGCCUCCUUUUCCAUUGCUAGCAUCCCUCCUUCCCCUCCUCCUUCUUCUUCCUUCCUCCUCUCCCUUUCUCACCUAUUUUUUUCUUCUCUAUGGUGACUCCCUCCACCUCCAUAUAUUUUUCCACUGUCUCCCUUUCCUCCACCUCCUCUCCAAAUGAUCCCCUCCUCUUUCAUUAUUGGUACC